GGGAUUUUGAACAACAGAAGGCAUGAGGCAGGUCUUGACUAAGGUUUACAUAUUUGGGGCUAGUGCUUUUUCAGGAUGAGGAGUGGCUCGAGCUGUUAGUGAGGUUGUAGUUGACAAUCCGGUCAAGUGAGAUCUUACACAUUUCAUUCCAUGUUAGCAUUAUGUUGUUGGUUGUAUUUUAUAUUUGAAUGUUGUUUAUUUAUUUAUCUCUCUCUCUCUC